rnacentral:rRNA from 1 species
AACGAACGCUGGCGGCAUGCCUAACACAUGCAAGUCGAACGAGAACGCCGGGCCUAGUGGCGCACGGGUGCGUAACGCGUGGGAACCUGCCCUUAGGUUCGGAAUCACUCCCCGAAGGGGGUGCUAAUACCGGUUAAUCUCUUCGGGCCAAAGAUUUAUCGCCUUUGGAUGGGCCCGCGUUGGAUUAGCGGGUGGGUAGGGGAAAAGCCUACCAAGGCGACGAUGCAGAGCUGGUCGGAGACGAGGACCAGCUACGGUGGGACUGAGGCACGGCCCAGACCCCUAGGGAGGGGAGCAGAAGGGAACAUUGUACGAGGAGGGAAGGCCUGGUCCAGCAAUGCGGCGGAAGAGAGGAAUGCCUUAGGGUUGUAAAGCUCGCUUACCCGAGAUGAUAAUGACAGUACCGGGAGAAGAAGCUCCGGCUAACUCCGUG